CACGCAUGUAGAUAGCAACCAAUAAUUUCGGCGGCCAGAUUUACAUUCCGCUGCACGCGUGGAACCCGAGUGAAACGUUAAGGAAUGGUGCGAUCUGUUUGACCAAAUACAGAGACUGGACACAGCGUUGGUCAGUAUUGGAUACGGAAAGGCCUGGACACACGAUGGGCGAGCGGAAAACACAACUGACUCGUACUUUGAAUGCUCGCACGUAAGCAUAUUUACAUUAUUUGCACGUACACACACAUACGCUCACACGUACACACACAUACACUCACAUACACACACACACAUACACAUAUACACGCAUACAUACACAUAUAUAAACAGUUUAUAACUAUUUGUGUAUAUAAACUUACAUAUAUUUAUUAACUGAGGCACGCAAACAUUUCUAUUUGUAUACGUGUGUAUACACAAAUAUUUAUAGCUCUAUAGACAAGCAUAAGAACAAAUUCGGAAAAUAUACUAUACUCUUAUCUAUCUAUCUAUCUAUCUAUCUAUCUAUCUAUCUAUCUAUCUAUCUACCUAUCUCUGUCUGUCUGUCUGUCUGUCUGUCUAUCUAUCUAUCUAUCUAUCUAUCUAUCUAUCUAUCUAUCUAUCUAUCUAUCUAUCUAUCUAUCUAUCUAUCUAUCUCUGUCUGUCUGUCUGUCUGUCUAUCUAUCUAUCUAUCUAUCUAUCUAUCUAUCUAUCUAUCUAUCUGUCUGUCUGUCUGUCUGUCUGUCUGUCUACACGUGUGUGUGUGUUUGUGUGCGUGUGCAUGGUUAUAUGUAAAUAUACAUACAAUAAUAUGAGAGAGGGAGAGAGGGAGAGAGAGAGAGAGAGAGAGACGGAAAGAAGUUAGUUGAAAAUACCAUUUCUGAAGGCCUCGAUGCGCACCGAUUCCUACCUCGACACAAUACAUAACGGAAGGACAAACUAAUCGAGUCACUUAUACUCGGAGAUUUAUGUAAACAAGCAGCAAGUUAUACAGAAAUACAGGUGGAACAGUAAACCUAUGCAGACACCAUAACACGCGGGUAAUAAUAAUAUAUUAUCACACACACACACACACAUAUAUAUAUAUAUAUAUCGAAGGAGAGAGAGAGAGAGAGAGAGAGAGAGAGAGAGAGAGAGAGAGAGAAAGAGAGAAGGAGCCUGUACAUACAGAAAAGAGUAUAAAUUAAUCUGUGUCCAAUAUUGUACUCAUACUUAUAUAUCCUCUGUCCGUACGCACAGAGAGAAGGAAGACAUACAAGUAACCACACCCAUACGUACAUACAUACAUACGUACAUACAUAUUCCUCUGUUAUGAAUGCACCAACAUUUUACGAGUUAGCAACUAUUUUACAAGUAAAUCCUGAGAAGGCGAAAUAUUCCAACUUGAUUUUUGAACUUGUUGAAAGUGAACCCGUUUGAAAUAUCUUUGUGAAAGGCAUUCACUUCCCGGCAUCUGACGACCAUCUCUUCUCCGAAUCAAAACAAACCGGUAUUUAGGUGCAAAAGAAGCGAGCGACAAAGAUUUUGUGGUAAGCUCUCGGUAAGCGGAUUACGGGACGCAGUUUCGAUACUUACGGGAAGAAACAUGUUUCCGUUUUGCUUUAUAUAUAUCUACAUAUAUUUAUAAUCUGAUAUCUCAUUUUGAGGAAACCAUAAAUACCACUAAUUCACAUUUAUACGAAAUAUUAGCAAAUAAAGGAAUUUUGUGCAAAAUCGAAAGAUACCAACUAUUCUAUUGAGGAAUAUCUACAAAAAUUUCAACACAAAUCAAAACGUAUCCACACAUUACAAACAUUAUAUAUAUAUAUAUAUAUUUUAACACCAAGUGGAAAUACUAUUAAAUUAGUAUCUAAUUCUCUCACCCUUAUUAGUUGAUAUAUAUAUAUAUAUAUAUAUAUAUAUAUAUAUAGCAACUUAACAUUCUACAGCUUUAAUCAAAACACUCAUAUACGCAGAAACAUAUUUGUGUGUGUGUGUGUAUGUGCAUGGGCUGUUUGUGUGUCUUCGGAGGUUUGGUGUCCCAGGGUGAAUCUAUCAAGUCACUUGGAGGUGUCCAGCUUCGCAAAAUUUACAAUAAAUUGUUUAUUCUUCAAUAAACUGAAUCUCCAUCACUCAGUGGAACUUCAUGAAGCUCAUCCGGGCACACGCACACUUUCACACACACACUCGCACGCACACCUACAAACACACGCUUAGACAUACAUCAAAGCGGUUUCACUAAUCAACAGCUUUAUCAAUAUAUAUUUCACUUAUAUACUGGCCUUUAUAGACGCACAUACACCGCUCCAUAGAUAUAUACUCGCACGCACGGACAUAUAUAUAUAUAUAUAUAUACACACGCGCCUAUGUUUAUAUUUAUUUAUGAAAGUAGAACUCUGUACAAGUGGACCAAGUAAAAUUAUUUCCAACAAUAACAGUUCGAUGCUGAAUGUAA
rnacentral:lncRNA from 1 species